AUCCAACCGACGAGUCUGAAAUAGGACGAAACACGCGUCCUGUAU
rnacentral:hammerhead_ribozyme from 1 species